rnacentral:rRNA from 1 species
GACGUAGGGGACGAGCGUUGUCCGGAUUCAUUGGGCGUAAAGCGCGCGUAGGCGGUUUGGUAAGUCGGGUGUGAAAAUCCGGGGCUCAACCCCGGACCUGCACCCGAUACUGCCCGACUAGAGGUAGGUAGGGGAGAUCGGAAUUCCUGGUGUAGCGGUGAAAUGCGCAGAUAUCAGGAGGAACACCGGUGGCGAAGGCGGAUCUCUGGGCCUUACCUGACGCUGAGGUGCGAAAGCUAGGGGAGCGAACAGG